ACACGGAGGGUGCGAGCGUUGUUCGGAAUCACUGGGCGUAAAGCGGGUGUAGGCGGUCUAGCAAGUCAGAUGUGAAAGUCCAGGGCUCAGCCCUGGAAGUGCAUCUGAAACUGUUAGACUUGAGUACUGGAGAGGGAAGUGGAAUUCCUGGUGUAGGGGUGAAAUCCGUAGAUAUCAGGAGGAACACCGGUGGCGAAGGCGACUUCCUGGACAGAUACUGACGCUCAGACCCGAAAGCGUGGGGAGCAAACAGGAUUAGAUACCCUAGUAGUCC
rnacentral:rRNA from 1 species